rnacentral:SRP_RNA from 1 species
GCGUUGGCCCUGUGCGAUGAAGAGCCAUGAACCAUGUCAGGCGGGGAACCGAGCAGCAUUAAGUGGUUUUCUUUGUGCGCCGCAGCAAGCCUGCGCUUC